ensembl:snRNA U4 U4 spliceosomal RNA
AGCUUUGCACAGUGGCAGUGACCAUAGGCAUUGAGGUUUGUGCAAGACAAGAUUAUUGUUAAGUGAAAACUUUUCCCAAUGCCCUCCUAUGAUGACUUGAAAUGUAGUCAACAUUGGCAAAUUUGAUAGUCUCUACAGAGA